CCUAAGGGAGGCAGCAGUGAGGAAUAUUGGUCAAUGGCCGGGAGGCUGAACCAGCCAAGCCGCGUGAAGGACGAAGGUACCAAGUAUUGUAAACUUCUUUUGUCAAGGGACAAAAUCAGGCACGAGUCCCCGGCUGAGUGUACCUGAAGAAAAAGCAUCGGCUAACUCCGUGCCAGCAGCCGCGGUAAUACGGAGGAUGCGAGCGUUAUCCGGAUUUAUUGGGUUUAAAGGGUGCGCAGGCGGACUGUUAAGUCAGCGGUAAAAGCCCGGGGCUCAACCCCGGCCAGCCGUUGAAACUGGCUGUCUAGAGAUGGAGAGAGGUAUGCGGAAUGCGCGGUGUAGCGGUGAAAUGCUUAGAUAUUGCGAAGAACUCCGAUUGCGAAGGCAGCAUACCGGCGGCAAACUGACGCUGAGGCACGAAAGCGUGGGUAUCGAACAGGAUUAGAUACCCUUGUAGUC
rnacentral:rRNA from 1 species